GCAGGUGGCCAUGGUGCGUGGGACUCCUCGGACAGCGACAGCCUGUCUCCACGGCCUGGGAAUAGUGGUCUUCUCCACUCCCUAACAGACCCUCUGGAAACCUGAUAAGGAUUACAGGAUCCCAUAGAAGAGCACUGGACUUCAAAUGAACUGUUCUGUAAACCUAUCCCAACUAGCUGGAGACCCACUCCGGAGGAUGUGCAGGAGAUGCAAUGUGCUUCAUACUGCUUCAUGCAUGGAGCCAGCUAAGAUGGACCAUCUCUCAUGAAGAAGAGGCAUCAAGAAGAAGGGAGAGGGCAACCUGUUCAAAGCAGCAAAGCAGUGCUAGCUUUCUGCCUUGAUCUUUUAACGAAUUUAACAAGGCUGAAGAUCAGAAUUCAUAAAACAGAGCAAAUGUGACCUGAUCACUAGUGAGAACUAGAGAACUACUCCCCGACUUGAACACUGUAUUUCUCUUAAUACAACAAAAGAUUGAUUUUCUUUUUGUGGAAGUUACAUCACACUGUGUUGACUCAUCAUCUAUUCACAAUCAACAGAAGGCUCUAAAUCUUCCGACGUGAGCUAUUCCUUGGUGCUGCCCAGCCUCCAGAAGCAUGAGAGCCAGCCUUAUAGACUUAUCAGCACCUCUACACACCAGCAGGAGGUGUUGGAAAUAGUCUCUGAAAAUUCUACACCCAAGUGCCUGCAGGGACAGCUCUUCCCUGAAGAUUCUGAGAAGUCCUGCAUGAAGGCCUUUGUGAACCAGGUUACAUGCCCAUACAUGAAGUGGUCACUGGGGCCAAGGGGAUGAAAUUCACUCAUUGACUUAGUCUGGACCACAUGCGCUAUCUUCUGGUGAUAAAGGUGGAGUCAGCUUUCUCAAAACUACAUGGAUGUCCUACAGAAAGGGCAGCUGAGAAAGAGGGAUUCAUGUGAGAAGACAACUAAGGUUACAUAGACUCAGUAGAAGAAAUAAGACCACAGCUCCAAUUCUCCCCUGAAUUCAUUCUGGCAAAGUCUCUGUCUCCUGGCUACUUUGUUUUCUGGUUACUUAUUUGGACCAUUCCUGUCUUUUUUUUUUUUUUUUUAAAUCUAGAAGUCUUAUACCACUUUGCAAUGUCUUUUCCUGGUUUGUGACCUGAGACCUAUAUCUUGACCUAAAUAUCUUCUUAGAGGAGCCCUCCAAGGGCUAACUAUAGCUAACUAAGUUGGACUUUGGAGAACUGGGGCUUUAUGUCGACUACAGCAGUGAUUCAGAAGAGGCAGGACACAAUAGUACUCAUGUGCUGUGUGCCAGGCACAGUUCAAAAUGUCCUGCCCAGGGCAAGCCAUUAUCUGACCCCAUGAAUGGGAUUAGUGCCCUUAUAAGGAGAGAUGAUCUCUCUCUCUCUAUGUGUGGAUACAAGAAGGUGCUCAUCUGCAUCAGAUACCAAAUCUGCUGGCACCUUGAGCUUGGACUUACUAGCCUUCAGAACAGAGAAGUAAAUGUUUUUUGUACAAGUCACCCAGUCUAUGGUAUUGGUUAUAGCAGCUCCAACUGACAAAGACAUCAUCCUCCCUGCCUCUGUGACAUAUCUGUACAGUGACUUGGCUUCUGUGGGCCCAGAGAAGUCUCUUUUUACCCUUUCUUAGAGGUUUUGACCACAGUUAUCCUCUCUUGUCUCAGUCCUGUCUCUAGUACUUGCUGUUCUUCUAUUCUUCAACUCCUUGUAUGGUACACCAUCACUUACUGUUUUUAGAGCCUUCCCCACAAAACACUACCACGUUAAAUACAUCUAUUGAAGACACUUUCUGAUUUUAGAAUUAUUAAAAAUGUGUGGGAAAAGCCUUGUACCUUAGCAUCUAGUAAAUGCUAUAAUUGAAUGAUUUUGGUUUUUAGCUACCUAUUAACAUCAGACAGUCUGCCCCAUUCAGUAGUUGGGUUGUGCUAUCCCUUCUUUAUUAUUAUUCUUACUAUAUCCAUAAGCAAAAAACAAACAAAAAUUGUCUUCAGUACUUUUCCCAGAGUCUAGUUUUCUCUGGACUUUAAGUCCUCUGGCAUUAUUUUCACAGG